GAGCCCUUGAGCAUAUCUCCUCCAUCAACACAGACGCUAGUGGUAAAUAGAAGAUGAAGUAACACAGUUGAGGGAAACAAGCCCAUGGUAAAGACCCUGCAUAACUGCCUUAUAAAGAAAUGAAUCAACUUCAGCAUUGAUCCCCAUCAUUGGGACAGAGUUCAGCAUGCAAACACUCAGAGGUGGCUGACCACAACCAGAACACCUACCCCACCCGGAACAAGGUCUGCAAGCCCUGUAGCUGCCCAGCCUCAAGGCAGAAGAAAGAGCCUGGAGACAGUGACAGAGACAUCAAUGGUUUAUUGGACAGAGGAAUCUUAAGUCUGAAGCAAAAGUUCCUGGAGCGUCA